GACGAACGCUGGCGGCGUGCUUAACACAUGCAAGUCGAACGGAAAGGCCCUGCUUUUGUGGGGUGCUCGAGUGGCGAACGGGUGAGUAACACGUGAGUAACCUGCCCUUGACUUUGGGAUAACUUCAGGAAACUGGGGCUAAUACCGGAUAGGAGCUCCUGCUGCAUGGGGGGGGUUGGAAAGUUUCGGCGGUUGGGGAUGGUCUCGCGGCUUCUCAGCUUGUUGGUGGGGUAGUGGCUUACAAAGGCUUGGACGGGUAGCCGGCCUGGGAGGGUGACCGGCCCCAGUGGGCCUGGGAUACGACCCGGACGCCAACGGGCGGCAGCAGUGGAGACUAUUCCGAAAUGGGCCGAGGCCGGGUGCAGCAACGCCGCGUGCGGGAUGACGGCUUUUGGGUUGUAAACCGUUUUCGCCUGUGACGAAGCGUGAUUGACGGAAAUGGGUAAAGAAGCACCGGCUACCUACGU
rnacentral:rRNA from 1 species